CCUACGGGCGGCUGCAGUGGGGAAUAUUGGACAAUGGGGGGAACCCUGAUCCAGCCAUGCCGCGUGUGUGAAGAAGGCCCUCGGGUUGUAAAGCACUUUCAGUGAGGAAGAACGCCUGGUGGUUAAUACCCAUCAGGAAAGACAUCACUCACAGAAGAAGCACCGGCUAACUCCGUGCCAGCAGCCGCGGUAAUACGGAGGGUGCGAGCGUUAAUCGGAAUUACUGGGCGUAAAGCGCGCGUAGGUGGCUUGAUAAGCCGGUUGUGAAAGCCCCGGGCUCAACCUGGGAACGGCAUCCAGAACUGUCAAGCUAGAGUGCAGGAGAGGAAGGUAGAAUUCCCGGUGUAGCGGUGAAAUGCGUAGAGAUCGGGAGGAAUACCAGUGGCGAAGGCGGCCUUCUGGACUGACACUGACACUGAGGUGCGAAAGCGUGGGUAGCAAACAGGAUUAGAUACCCCUGUAGUC
rnacentral:rRNA from 1 species